rnacentral:rRNA from 1 species
AGUGAACGCUGGCGGUAGGCCUAACACAUGCAAGUCGAACGGCAGCACAGUAAGAGCUUGCUCUUACGGGUGGCGAGUGGCGGACGGGUGAGGAAUACAUCGGAAUCUACUUUUUCGUGGGGGAUAACGUAGGGAAACUUACGCUAAUACCGCAUACGACCUACGGGUGAAAGCAGGGGAUCUUCGGACCUUGCGCGAUUGAAUGAGCCGAUGUCGGAUUAGCUAGUUGGCGGGGUAAAGGCCCACCAAGGCGACGAUCCGUAGCUGGUCUGAGAGGAUGAUCAGCCACACUGGAACGGGGACACGGUCCAGACUCCUAAGGGAGGCAGCAGUGGGGAAUAUUGGACAAUGGGCGCAAGCCUGAUCCAGCCAUACCGCGUGGGUGAAGAAGGCCUUCGGGUUGUAAAGCCCUUUUGUUGGGAAAGAAAAGCAGCAGGUUAAUACCCCGCUGUUCUGACGGUACCCAAAGAAUAAGCACCGGCUAACUUCGUG